rnacentral:rRNA from 1 species
CAGCAGCCGCGGUAAUACGUAGGGUGCAAGCGUUAAUCGGGAUUACUGGGCGUAAAGCGUGCGCAGGCGGCUAUGCAAGACAGAUGUGAAAUCCCCGGGCUCAACCUGGGAACUGCAUUUGUGACUGCAUGGCUAGAGUACGGUAGAGGGGGAUGGAAUUCCGCGUGUAGCAGUGAAAUGCGUAGAUAUGCGGAGGAACACCGAUGGCGAAGGCAGCCCCCUGGGCCAAUACUGACGCUCAUGCACGAAAGCGCGGGGAGCAAACAGGAUUAGAUACCCGGGUAGUCCCUGUCUCUUAUAC